ACUUCAUGCAGUUUUCCCAGCGAGUUUACAGAUGUUGGAAUUCAGCAGCCUUGAACAGUCAAGGGAAGGCAAUUUUACUGAGUUUGAGUUGGUAACAUGAGCUGUUCUAUCUGUAUCCCCAGAUUUUAGGAUUCUAACUUAGCAUGUAUUUUGAAGUCUAUAUCCCACAUGCAGCUUUCCAGCAGAAGAAGCUAAUCAGAUAACAUACCUGCUCAGAAUAAUUUUGAAAACAAAGAAGCUGUGGCAUGGUUAUUAAGUGCAAAAUUAAUCCAAAUACUUACAAUGCAUGGCAUACAGAAUAUAUUCUUAAAAGAACUCAUUCCAUCGGACACAUUUUGUGGACAGAGGCGUA